UACGAAGGGGGCUAGCGUUGCUCGGAAUUACUGGGCGUAAAGCGCACGUAGGCGGCUUUCUAAGUCGGGGGUGAAAUCCUGGAGCUCAACUCCAGAACUGCCUUCGAUACUGGAGAGCUUGAGUCCGGGAGAGGUGAGUGGAACUGCGAGUGUAGAGGUGAAAUUCGUAGAUAUUCGCAAGAACACCAGUGGCGAAGGCGGCUCACUGGCCCGGUACUGACGCUGAUGCGCGAAAGCGUGGGGAGCAAACGGG
rnacentral:rRNA from 1 species